UACGGGGGGUGCGAGCGUUGUCCGGAAUCACUGGGCGUAAAGGGCGCGUAGGUGGUCUUGUAAGUCUGUGGUGAAAGCCCGGGGCUCAACCCCGGGUCUGCCGUGGAUACUGUGAGACUUGAGUACUGUAGAGGCAGGUAGAAUAUCGGGUGUAGCGGUGGAAUGCGUAGAGAUCCGAUAGAAGACCGGUGGCGAAGGCGGCCUGCUGGGCAGUAACUGACACUGAGGCGCGACAGCGUGGGGAGCAAACAGG
rnacentral:rRNA from 1 species